GAUGAAGAACGUAGCGAAAUGCGAUAAGUAAUGUGAAUUGCAGAAUUCCGUGAAUCAUCGAAUCUUUGAACGCAUAUUGCGCCCUCUGGUAUUCCGGAGGGCAUGCCUGUCCGAGCGUCAUUAAAUAACCCUCAAGCAUAGCUUGGUGUUGGGCUUUUUUACGUCCUUGACUGGGAUGGGCCUAAAAAUUAGUGGCGAUGGCUUUUUUACUUUCAAGCGUAGUAAAUCUCGUCUUGCUAAAGAGGAAAAAGAUUUUUUUUCUGCCAAAAAUUUUAACAUUUAAAGUUGACCUCGGAUCAGGUAGGAUUACCCGCUGAACUUAAGCAUAUCAAUAAGCGGAGGA
rnacentral:misc_RNA from 1 species